UCGGACCCAGGGGCCAAGAGCUAGAAGCAGAUCCGCGGCAGAGCUCACUUAAGUCGCCGGCUGAAAGAGGGGAUCAGCUAGGAACAGUGAGAAAGAGCGCGGACUCUUCUGUUGGGUACAUCUCACCCCACCCUUUCCCGUAGUAGGGCCCAAAUGACUCUCUUUCAGCAUGGGGCCAAGUGGACCUAAAAGUGGAACCCUAACUACAUCAUCAAUGAUACCUUUACUUCUUCAGUAUUCAAAGUACAGGGGACAGGAAGAAGAGGACAGAGGAGGAAAAAUUGGAAUACAAAACUGAAAACCAUUUUUGCAUGUAUUUGGAAAAAUAAAAAGCUAUUAUUUAAAAAAAAAAUCCUGCCUUAAUUCUGUGCUUGCUACAUUAUGAUUACAGCUUUUAAACCUAUCUAGGUCAUUAUAUCUUAGCUGUUAAAUUCAGUUUUCUUUUCACUAUUAAUCCAUGACUUCUCUUCACUGUUAAAUACUAUUGAUCACUCUCUCCUCCUCAAUGACUCAAAUAUUCUCUCUUCUCUGGGUUUUUGUGACAAUAUGUAUUUUAGGUCCGAUAUUUCUAAAAAUCUUCCAUAGAAGAUCUAUUUAAUAAAUCCAACUUUUAACUAUCCCAUUUGUUAUCUCUUUCUUUCUCCCUUCUUCUUCUCUCCUCUUCAUCUUCUUUUUUUCUUUACCCCAUCUUUUCCUUCUUUUUCUUUCUCUCUUUGCACUUUUCAAAUGUAAGUAAUCAUUGACAAUAUACUAUAUCUUAUUGAGUCCACUAUGCAUCUUUCCAUUCCUUUUCAGGUAAACCAUAUUUUAAUCCUUCAUAGAUCAUAAUGUUCUAUGACUGGUGGUUAUAUAGCAUCUUUAAGAAAAUGAUAGUAUUAUUUUAAAAAA